rnacentral:tRNA from 1 species
GCGCUCGUAGCCUAGGGGAUCAGGCAACAAACUUCUAAUUUGUCUUACGUAGGUUCAAGUCCUACCGGGCGCA